rnacentral:rRNA from 1 species
CAAUAGCGUAUAUUAAAGUUGUUGCAGUUAGAACGCUCGUAGUCGGAUUUCGGGGCGUUCCGACCGGUCUGCCGAUGGGUAUGCACUGGCCGGAGUGUCCUUUUUGCCGGAGACCGUGCCUACUCUUAACUGAGCGGGGGCGGGAGACGGCACUUUUACUUUGAAAAAAUCAGAGUGUUUCAAGCAGGCAGCUCGCUCUUGCAUGGAUUAGCAUGGGAUAAUGAAAUAGGACUUUGGUGCUAUUUUGUUGGUUUCGAACACCGAAGUAAUGAUGAGAAGGGACAGUCAGGGGCACUCGUAUUCCGCAGAGAGAGGUGAAAUUCUCAGACCCGCGGAAGACGCACCACUGCGAAAGCAUUUGCCAGGGAUGUUUUCACUGA